rnacentral:rRNA from 1 species
UGAGAUUUCCCAGUAUAUAAGACCCCUUGUAGACGACGAGGUAGAUAGGUUCGGGGUGGAAGCGCGGCAACGUGUGGAGCUGACGAAUACUAAUCGGUCGAGGGCUUAUCCAAAA